rnacentral:lncRNA from 1 species
GCGGCCGCGCCCGCACCCGCACCGGCACCCACGCCCACGCCCGAGGAAGGGCCCGACGCGGGCUGGGGAGACCGCAUUCCCUUGGAAAUCCUGGUGCAGAUUUUCGGGUUGUUGGUGGCGGCGGACGGCCCCAUGCCCUUCCUGGGCAGGGCUGCGCGCGUGUGCCGCCGCUGGCAGGAGGCCGCUUCCCAACCCGCGCUCUGGCACACCGUGACCCUGUCGUCCCCGCUGGUCGGCCGGCCUGCCAAGGGCGGGGUCAAGGCGGAGAAGAAGCUCCUUGCUUCCCUGGAGUGGCUUAUGCCCAAUCGGUGAGGGGUUCCCUCUCUUCCUUACCCCUGGCUCCAGGCUCCUUCCGUCUCCCUGCACCAAGGUGUUGGGUGGGAAGGACUCGUGUGGGAACAUUAGUGCAGCUCUGCCUCCGCUGUCGGCCCAGGUUUUCACAGCUCCAGAGGCUGACCCUCAUCCACUGGAAGUCUCAGGUACACCCCGUGUUGAAGGUGAGAGCU